UCAGUUCUCAGUGGGCGGAAACUGAGACAAGGCAGCUGCAGCAGCUCCUCCACCAUUAUAAAAACUUGGGGAGACCCAACAGCCCAUCCCCUGUGGGCACAGGGUCCUGCAGUCCCUGGCAAACAGCUCCUAGGCCACUUCCUAGUCGGCUACU